rfam:Heterocephalus glaber contig187009, whole genome shotgun sequence.
AAACACAAAUGCUUGGUCCUGGCUUUUUUAUUAGUUUAGCGCAAAAUUAUACAUGCAAGUCUCCCCCCGCCAGUGAGAAUGCCCUUGAAAUCUUAAACUGACAAAAAGGAGCGGGUAUCAAGUACACUACCAAGUAGCUCAAGACACCUUGCUUAGCCACACCCCCACGGGAAACAGCAGUAAUUAAUAUUAAGCAAUGAACGAAAGUUUGACUUAAUUAUGCAAUCAAACUAGGGUUGGUAAAUAUCGUGCCAGCCACCGCGGUUAUACGAUUAACCCAAAUUAAUAAAACCCGGCGUAAAGGGUGUUUAGGGAAAAUAAUCAGACUAAGAUUAAAUUCUAUCUAGGUCGUAAAAAACUUCAGAUAAGACAAACCCACUACUAUCUACGAAAGUAAUCUUAACAAACCUGAACACACGACAGCUAUGGUUCAAACUGGGAUUAGAUACCCCACUAUGCUUAGCCGUAAACAUAAAAUAUUAUAACAACAAAAUAUUUCGCCAGAGAACUACUAGCAACAGCUUAAAACUCAAAGGACUUGACGGUGCUUUAAACCCAUCUAGAGGAGCCUGUUCUAUAAUCGAUAAACCCCGUUAAACCUCACCAUUUCUGGCUACUUCAGUCUAUAUACCGCCAUCUUCAGCGAACCUCUACAGGGGACAAAAGUAAGCUCAAGUACUAUCAUAAAAACGUUAGGUCAAGGUGUAACCAAUGAAAUGGGAAGAAAUGGGCUACAUUUUCUUAUCCAAGAACAUAAACGACAGUUACCAUGAAAUCUGAUAACACAAGGUGGAUUUAGUAGUAAAACAAGAAUAGAGAGCUUGUUUGAACAUGGCCAUGAAGCACGCACACACCGCCCGUCACCCUCCUUAAACUCUAAAGACUAACAAUACUAUAUUAAACAGUCAACAUGGAACUAAAGGAGACAAGUCGUAACAAGGUAAGCAUACUGGAAAGUGUGCUUGGACAAACAAAACG